UACAGAGGUCUCAAGCGUUGUUCGGAUUCAUUGGGCGUAAAGGGUGCGUAGGUGGUCCGUUAAGUCUGUUGUGAAAGCCCUUGGCUCACCAAGGAAUUGCUUCGGAUACUGGCGGACUUGAGGCUAGUAGAGGUCACUGGAACUGACGGUGGAGCGGUGAAAUGCGUAGAUAUCGUCAGGAACGCCGGUGGUGAAGACGGGUGACUGGGCUAGUUCUGACACUGAGGCACGAAAGCGUGGGGAGCGAACGGG
rnacentral:rRNA from 1 species